UACGAAGGGGGCUAGCGUUGCUCGGAAUCACUGGGCGUAAAGGGCGCGUAGGCGGCCAUUCAAGUCAGAGGUGAAAGCCCAAGGCUCAACCUUGGAACUGCCUUUGAUACUGUUUGGCUUGAGACCGGUAGAGGUAAGUGGAACUGCGAGUGUAGAGGUGAAAUUCGUAGAUAUUCGCAAGAACACCAGUGGCGAAGGCGGCUCACUGGCCCGAUACUGACGCUGAGGCACGAAGCGUGGGAGCAAACAGGG
rnacentral:rRNA from 1 species